UUUUAGGUUUUAUAUUUACAUUGGACUAAAAUCAAAUAAUAAAAAUCUGUAUUAUAUAUAUAAUUAUUUAUUUAUAUAUAUAUAAAUUUACGAGUUGUUAUCUAGCUGAACAUGUAUUCGGCACGUUUGUUAAACGAGCUGAAAAAUUCAGCUCGUGUUCGGCUUGUUUACUAAAUGAGCAAUUCGAUCUCGAAUUAAUUUCGCGCCGAAAACG
rnacentral:lncRNA from 1 species